GAAUUAAUUUUAAAUAGCUGCMGUAUUUUAACUGUACMAAGGUAGCAUAAUCAAUAGUUUUUUAAUUGAAAGCUAGUAUGAAUGAUUUUAUGAAAUAAAAAUUGUCUCAAAUUUAUUAAAUUUAGAAUUUUUUUUUUAGUAAAAAUACUAAAAUUAUUUUAAAAGACGAGAAGACCCUAUAGAUUUUUAUAAUUUUUAUUAAAAAAAAAUUAAUUAUAAUAAAAAUUAUUUAAUUGGGGAAAUUAUUAAAUUUAAUAAAUUUUAAUUAUUUUAAACAAAAAUUAUUGGUAAAUUGAUCUUAAUAUUUAGAUAAAAAGAAUUAAAUACCUUAGGGAUAACAGCGUUAUUUUUUUUUAAAGAUCAUAUUGAUAAAAAAGUUUACRACCUCGAUGUUGAAUUAAGAUAUAAUUUUAAUGAAAAAAUUAAAAAUUUUUAGYCUGUUCGACUAUUAAAAUCUUACGUGAUCUGA
rnacentral:rRNA from 1 species